UGCUAAUGAAGAAAGGGCAAGUUGUAAAAUUUUUAGAUGGUGCACAAGAGGUAAAAGAUCCUUAAUGCACGUCUUGUGUCUACUUUGGUUGCUACAAGAAUCGCUUUAAAGACUGUCAGUGCUGCACCUAUAUUUAUUAUAAGUAGAAUACACAAUCCUAAUCUCCCCUAAUCACCACUCUGGUAUAAUAAUUACGCAGAUUGAAAGUUUCAUCUUU
rnacentral:lncRNA from 1 species